rfam:Trichobilharzia regenti genome assembly, scaffold: TRE_scaffold0001257
GUGCUGUUGAAGAGUCCAAAACUAGGACGAAACAGCUGUCCAGUAC